GGGGCGUCCCUGGGCAGCCCAGGAGCAGCUGUCAGUCACUGACACACCGGGAGCACUGUCAACACCACGCCCCGGAGUCCCCAGCCCAGCCUCAUCCAGGUUGGCACACUGGAUGUCCCACCUAGAGGCUGGGGGGUGGCUGCAGGGGGACCGAACAGAUAAAACGAGCACCAUGCGGCCUUCGUGUUGUCAUGACCCCCACCAUGUGGACACACGGAAGCUGGAAUUGCACAGGACUCAAGGCAGAAGCUGAAUAAAACACCUGUUGAUUCCUGGAAUAGCAAAAGACAGUGAAGCCUACCAGAGUUACAGAACCACAGCCAGUUAAGUCAGUGCAAACCGCUUAAUUCAGAGGUGAAAUGAAAAUAAAUGUACAAAUGAAAAAGAAAUAAGACAUCUUCUGCACAGUAAUGUAAAGCAUAAAAAGCACAUAAUUUUUAAUAGAACUUUAUGAUGCCUUUUUCUGCUGACUACAGAAUCUGUUCAAAGUAUCCAUGAAACUAAAUUACAAACUGCUGGCUAUUUUUCCAACUA